rnacentral:tRNA from 1 species
GCUUUUGGUUCAGUGAUAGAAUGCUCGCCUGCCACGCGGGCGCCCCGGGUUCGAUUCCCGCCGAUGCA